CCCUCCCUCACCUGUAGGUGCCUGCAGAUGCGCCUCCCAGCGCACAGGGUCAGGUAGGGGCUUGUACACUGGCUGGCUGUAGGACUCGUUGUAGCGGAGUGGGACCACCACCGUCUGCUUGGAGCAGACCCCCUGUCUGCAUCCAGAUCGGGAGAGCAGCCUCACCAAGCACCUGGAGCCUUCACAUCUUUUUCUGAGACAAGACCCACAGCAUCACGAGCUCGCUGGAUGAGCACCAGUCAGAGGCCAUCUCCCAGCUCACAGACCCAAGGCUCGGAGUCCACCCCGCACUCCCCCACUGGCAUUUUCUCCCCACCUGGCUUCCCCUCUCUCCGGGAGACUUCAGGCGGCCCAGCCUCAGCAGCGGCGGCUCAGACUGGAGGG
rnacentral:lncRNA from 1 species